rnacentral:rRNA from 1 species
UACGUAGGGGGGCUAGCGUUGUCCGGAAUCAUUGGGCGUAAAGAGCGUGUAGGCGGUCCGGUAAGUCCGCUGUGAAAGUCGGGGGCUCAACCCUCGAAUGCCGGUGGAUACUGUCGGGCUAGAGUCCGGAAGAGGAGAGCGGAAUUCCUGGUGUAGCGGUGGAAUGCGCAGAUAUCAGGAAGAACACCCGUGGCGAAGGCGGCUUCCUGGCCUGUUCUUGACGCUGAGGCGCGAAAGCUAGGGUAGCAAACGGG